AAAGCCGGGCGUUGGUGGCGCAC
rnacentral:piRNA from 1 species